rnacentral:lncRNA from 1 species
AAUCUUCCUACUGUUCCCUAGCUAUCUCUCCCUGUCAUUUCCCACAUUGGCUGGUUGACACACUUUCUACUUCUGUAUCCCUUAAACAUGUAUUCUCCAGGGUUCUGUUGUCAGUCCCUUCUCUCUCUGUUCAUUCUGCUUUAACUACUAUCAGUUGAGUAUCGCAAUCUGUUGAUCUGCUAAUUCACCAACUUCCCUGACCUCUAAGCAGAGUCAGGGACUUUCUCUUUCCUCUUCCCAUGCUUCUUUAAUCACACUGCUAUUACUGCUCUCCUCAUUACCUUUUACCUAUUCUCUUGCCUCAGCCUCCUGGGUAGCUGGGACCACAGGCGUAUGCCACCAUGCCCUGCUAAUUUUUGUAUUUUUUUUGUAGAGACAGAGUUUCGCCAUGUUGCCCAGGUUGGUCUUGGCAUCCCCCCAAAAAACUGUUGUCAUGACCAUUGCUCUUGACCAGUCCACUUUUGCUUUGACUGGACAACUUCCAACUCUUGGUAGCCAUUGCUUUGAUUGUGUUUUGUCUUCAGGAUUGCACUGGUAAACCAUAUUUCAUCCCCUGUUACAAUUCUUUAAAGAAAUGCUUCAGGAUCUUGAUCCUACGUGUUUAAAAUUUCCAUUGAAAGCUCAGCUAUUGUCUACAGCUGAUCUGGGCACAACAGUUUUUGCACUCAUGAAGUGGAAAGUUUGCUGAAUCUUGAUUUUUCAGUCAGAAUUAUGUAAGCUGAACUGAUCAAGAUGUCUAGGUGUUGGCUAUUGUUUCUGCUCUAAUCAUCAGUCCUCUUCAUCUUCAACAUUGUCUCAUCUCUUAAAAUGAAUUAUCGGAUCAGGUGUGGUGGCUCACACCUGUAAUCCUAGCAGUUUAGAAGACUGAGGCCAGAGGAUUGCUCGAGCCUAGGAAUUUGAGACCAGCCUGAACAGCAUGGCAAAACCUUAUCUCUAAAAAGAAAUAUAAAAACUUGCUGGGCGUGGUGACAUGCACCUGCAGUCCCAGCUACUCAGGGGGCUGAGGUGGGAGGAUUGCUUGAGCCCAGGAGUUCGAGGCUGCAGUGAGCCCUAAUUGUACCACUCUUGUCUAGCCUGGGUGACAGAGCAAGACUCUGUCUCAAAACAAAA